rnacentral:misc_RNA from 1 species
GGAAGAGGUAGGGAAAAAGAUAAACAAGGUGGAGAAAACAUAAAGGAAAGAAGAGGAAACAAAAGGAUAGUAAAAAGAUAAAUGAGGGGUAGAAAACAUAACAUGGACUGCCACAUGAAAGGUGGAUUUUGUCCCUGCAUGUGGGGAAUAAGUAGGCAAAAUAGACCCUACAGCUUGUACAUGCACAACCUGCUUGGUUUGCAAAUUACUUUUCCCCCCGUUUCAGCAUUCUUGAUAUGUACAUCAGUUCUCGUACAAGUUGAUUUCUUCAUCCAUCAUGAGGCUAUUAUCAAGC